GAUGAACGCUGGCGGCGUGCCUAAUACAUGCAAGUCGAGCGAACAGACGAGGAGCUUGCUCCUCUGACGUUAGCGGCGGACGGGUGAGUAACACGUGGAUAACCUACCUAUAAGACUGGGAUAACUUCGGGAAACCGGAGCUAAUACCGGAUAAUAUAUUGAACCUCAUGGUUCAAUAGUGAAAGACGGUUUUGCUGUCACUUAUAGAUGGAUCCGCGCCGCAUUAGCUAGUUGGUAAGGUAACGGCUUACCAAGGCGACGAUGCGUAGCCGACCUGGGAGGGUGAUCGGCCACACUGGAACUGAGACACGGUCCAGACUCCUACGGGAGGCAGCAGUAGGGAAUCUUCCGCAAUGGGCGAAAGCCUGACGGAGCAACGCCGCGUGAGUGAUGAAGGUCUUCGGAUCGUAAAACUCUGUUAUUAGGGAAGAACAAAUGUGUAAGUAACUAUGCACGUCUUGACGGUACCUAAUCAGAAAGCCACGGCUAACUACGUG
rnacentral:rRNA from 1 species